rnacentral:rRNA from 1 species
AAUCAACGCUGGCGGCGUGCCUAACACAUGCAAGUCGCACGAGAAAGGGUCUUCGGAUCUGAGUAAAGUGGCGCACGGGUGAGUAACACGUGAAUUAUCUACCUUCGAGUGGGGAAUAACUUCGGGAAACCGAGGCUAAUACCGCAUAAUAUCUAAGGAUCAAAGCAGUAAUGCGCUUGAAGAGGAGUUCGCGGCAGAUCAGUUAGUUGGCGGGGUAAUGGCCCACCAAGACGAUGAUCUGUAUCCGGCCUGAGAGGGCGCACGGACACACUGGAACUGAAACACGGUCCAGACUCCUACGGGGGGCAGCAGUGGGGAAUUCUGCGCAAUGGGGGAAACCCUGACGCAGCAACGCCGCGUGGAGGAUGAAGUCUCUUGGGACGUAAACUCCUUUCGAUAGGGAAGAUUAUGACGGUACCUAUAGAAGAAGCCCCGGCUAACUUCGUGCCAGCCGCCGCCGUAA